AGUCGAGCGGAAGGCCCUUCGGGGUACUCGAGCGGCGAACGGGUGAGUAACACGUGAGCAACCUGCCCCAGGCUUUGGGAUAACCCCGGGAAACCGGGGCUAAUACCGAAUAUGACCUCUGACCGCAUGGUUGGUGGUGGAAAGUUUUUCGGCUUGGGAUGGGCUCGCGGCCUAUCAGCUUGUUGGUGGGGUGAUGGCCUACCAAGGCGACGACGGGUAGCCGGCCUGAGAGGGCGACCGGCCACACUGGGACUGAGACACGGCCCAGACUCCUACGGGAGGCAGCAGUGGGGAAUAUUGCACAAUGGGCGGAAGCCUGAUGCAGCGACGCCGCGUGAGGGAUGACGGCCUUCGGGUUGUAAACCUCUUUCAGCAGGGACGAAGCGUAAGUGACGGUACCUGCAGAAGAAGCGCCGGCCAACUACGUGCCAGCAGCCGCGGUAAUUCA
rnacentral:rRNA from 1 species